rnacentral:rRNA from 1 species
AGAUAACCGGGUAGUCCACGAGAGUAAAAGAGGCCACCUACCACUUUCAAAAAAACUGUUAAGUGGCGCCGCGAUUGCAAUCUAGAUCCCUGAUGUUGAUACGGUGGCAGGGUUAAAACUCAAAGGAAAGACGGGGGCCCGAACAAGCGGUGGAGCAUGUGGUGUAAUUCGACUCAACGCGCAGAACCUUACCAGCCCUUGACAUGUCCCGUAUGGGUUUCAGAGAUGAGAUCCUUCAAUUCGGCUGGCGGGAACACAGGUGCUGCAUGGCUGUCGUCAGCUCGUGUCGUGAGAGGUUGGGUUAAGUCCCGCAACGAGCGCAACCCCCGCCUUUAGUUGCCAUCAUUUAAUUGGGCACUCUAAAGGGACUGCCGGUGAUAAGCCGCGAGGAAGGUGGGGAUGACGUCAAGUCCUCAUGGCCCUUACGGGCUGGGCUACACACGUGCUACAAUGGCGGUGACAGAGGGAUGCAAAGGGGCGACCCUUCGCAAAUCUCAAAAAGCCGUCUCAGUUCGGAUUGGGCUCUGCAACUCGAGCCCAUUAUUCCAAUCGCUAGUAAUCGCAGCACAGCACGCUGCGGUGUAUACGUUCCCGGCCUGU